rnacentral:sRNA from 1 species
GAGAGAGAGAGAGAGAGAGAGAGAGAGGCGGAAGACAAAUGAAUUAGGGUUCUUCAUCAGUCGCUAAUCAACACAAAUAUUGGGCUUUGUUUGGGCCUCGUUAAUUUUGGCCCGCGAUAAUUUUCUCGGGUUUUAAUUCAGCACAAUUUUUUGAUUGUAGUCGCUUAUUAGUCGUUAAUCAGUCGCAAUGUAUAUUAAUGUUUUUUAAUAAUCAUAGGUUUUCAUAACUUUGGUGUA